rnacentral:ncRNA from 2 species
CUCUUAUCGAGAGAGGUGGAGGGACGUGCCCGAUGAAACCCGGCAACCGUCAACAAGGAAUUGUUGAAAUUGGUGCCAAUUCACACAAAGCUAUUUGCUUUGAUAGAUGAGAG